rnacentral:rRNA from 1 species
AAAUGAAUUGACGGGUCCCCGCACAAGCAGCGGAGCGUGUGGUUUAAUUCGAGGUUACACGAAGAACCUUACCAGGGUUUGACAUGCUAGUGGUAGUGAAGCGAAAGCGGAACGACCCUUCGGGGAGCUAGCACAGGUGCUGCAUGGCUGUCGUCAGCUCGUGUCGUGAGAUGUCAGGUUAAGUCCUGUAACGAGCGCAACCCUCGUCGUUAGUUAUACGUGUCUAACGAGACUGCCCGUGAUAAGCGGGAGGAAGGUGAGGAUGACGUCAAGUCAGCAUGGCCUUUAUAUCCUGGGCUACACACACGCUACAAUGGCCGGUACAAUGGGUCGCCAAGUCGCGAGACGGAGCCAAUCCUAAAAAGCCGGUCUCAGUUCGGAUUGCAGGCUGCAACUCGCCUGCAUGAAGUCGGAGUUGCUAGUAACCGCGCGUCAGCUAUAGUGCGGUGAAUACGUUCCCGGGGAUUGUACACACCGCCCGU